AUUAAAGACCCGAUGGGCCUUUUGCUAGUGACCAUCAAGAAGAGGCAAAGUAAAAACUGCUUUUGAGUGAAGUAGCAACUUGUGUUGUUUUACUUCAAUCAGUGUUGUGACAAGA
rnacentral:snoRNA from 1 species